AAGGCACAGGGGAGGCAUAAUAAGGAUUCUAAGAAUUACAGCCCUGGGGCCACAAUGAGUGCUGGUCGAGGCUUGACUGUUUUGUUAACCAUUUUGGUUGCUGUUGCAAAAGCAGAAACUAUGGCAACGACAACAGAAACUACGGCAACGACAACAGAAACUGCGGCUCCAACAACUGGUUCAACUGCAGUAACAACAACAGAAACUGCGGCAACAACAACAACAACAGAAACUGCGGCUACAACAACUGGUUCAACUGCAUCAAUAACAACAGAAACUGCGGCUACAACAACUGGUUCAACAGCAGUAACAACAACAGAAACUGCAGCAACAACAACAACAGAAACUGCAUCGACAACAACUGGUUCAACUGCAGUAACAACAACAGAAACUGCGGCAACAACAACUGGUUCAACUGCAGUAACGACAACAGAAACUGCGGCAACAACAACAACAGAAACUGCGGCUACAACAACUGGUUCAACUGCAUCAAUAACAACAGAAACUGUGGCAACAACAACUGGUUCAACUGCAAUAACAACAACAGAAACUGCGGCAACAACAACAGAAACUGCGGCGACAACAACUGGUUCAACUGCAGUAACAACAACAGAAACUGCGGCUACAACAACUGGUUCAACUGCAUCAAUAACAACAGAAACUGCGGCAACAACAACUGGUUCAACUGCAAUAACAACAACAGAAACUGCGGCAACAACAACAGAAUCUGCAGCAACAACAACAACUGGUUCAACAACACCUGCUUCAACUGCGGCAACAACAACAACUGGUUCAACUGCAGCAGCAACAACAGAAACUGCGGCAACAACAACAGAAUCUGCAGCAACAACAACUGGUUCAACAACACCUGCUUCAACUGCGGCAACGACAACUGGUUCAACUGCAGCAACAACAACAGAAACUGCGGCAACAAUAACUGGUUCAACUGCCCCAACAGUAACAGAAACUGCGUCUACAACAACUGGUUCAACUGCAUCAAUAACAACAGAAACUGCGGCAACAACAACUGGUUCAACUGCAGCAACAACAACAGAAGCUGCAGCAACAACAACUGGUUCAACAACACCUGCUUCAACAGCAGCAACAACAACUGGUUCAACUGCGGCAGUAACAACACCUGGUUCAACUGCGGCAACAACAACAACUGGUUCAACAACAGUAACAACAACUGGUUCAACUGCAACAACAACACCUGGUUCAACAACAACACCUGGAUCAAAAACAGCAACAACAACUGGUUCAACAGCAGCAACAAUAACACCUAAUGCAACAACAACACCUGGAUCAACAACAACUGGUUCAACUGCGGAAACGACAACAGAAUCUGUGGCAACAACAACAAGUGGUUCAACAAUAGUAACAACAACUGGUUCAACUGCGUCAACAACACCAGAAACCGGAUCAUCAAGAACACCUGGAUCAACAACAACUGGUUCAACUGCGGCAACGACAACAGAAACUGCGGCAACAACAACAACUGGUUCAACUGCAUCAACAACAAUACCAGAAACUGUAUCAACAAAAACACCUGGUUCAGCGACAACUGGUUCAACAGCAGCAACAACAACACCUGGUUCAACAAAAACACCUGGCUCAACAACAACUGGUUCAACUGCAGCAACACCAACAGAAUCUGCGGCAACAACAACUGGGUCAACAGCGGCAACAACAACACCUGGUUCAACAGCAGCAGCAACAACACCUGGUUCAACAACAACACCUGGAUCAACAACAACUGGUUCAACAGCGGCAACAACAACACCUGGUUCAACAACAACAACUGGAUCAACAACAACUGGUUCAACUCCAAAAAACACAACACUUGUUUCAACAACAACUGGUUCAACACCAGCAACAACAACUGGUUCAACAACAGUAACAACAACUGGUUCAACUGCGGCAACAACAACACCUGCUUCAAUAACAACACCUGGAUCAACAACUACUGUUUCAACUGCGGAAACGACAACACAAUCUGCGGCAACAACAACAAAUAGUUCAACAACAGUAACAACAACUGGUUCAACUGCGGCAACAACAACGCCUGUUUCAACAACAACUGGUUCAACUGCUUCAACAACAACGCCUGUUUCAAAAACAACUGGUUCAACAGCAGCAACAACAACUGGUUCAACAACAGCAACAACAACUGGUUCAACUGCGGCAACAACGCCUGGUUCAACAACAACUGGUUCAACUCCAACAAACACAACACUUGUUUCAACAACAACUGGUUCAACACCAGCAACAACAACUGGUUCAACAACAGUAACAACAACUGGUUCAACAGCGGCAACAACAACACCUGUUUCAACGACAACUGGUUCAACACCAGCAACAACAACACCUGCUUCAAUAACAACACCUGGAUUAACAACUACUGUUUCAACUGCGGCAACGACAACACAAUCUGCGGCAACAACAACAAAUGGUUCAACACCAGCAACAACAACUGGUUCAACAGCAGCAGUAACAACAAAUGGUUCAACUGUGGCAACAACAGAAAAAACGACGAUGACGACGACGACGACGAGAACAACAACAACAACAACAACAACAACAACAACAACAACAACAACAACAACAACAACAACAACAACAGCAGCAGCAGUGGCGGUAGUUCGUACACCAGUUGUUGUUCUUGCAGCAGUUUUGGUUAAACCCUUUGUGCCUCAACUCAAAGAUAAAACUAGUCCAGAAUUUAUAGCACUUGCGACAGAAGUGGUAGUAGUGUAUGAAGUCAUCUAUAGAGCUCGAUAUGGUUUGCUUUUCAGCCGUGUUAUUGUCAUAGCAUUCAGACAAGCUGGGACCAGAACACGAGCAUCUGAUACUGAAGCAGAAGUGCAGGUUGUGUUUAACAACACAAUAACACCUGCACAAAUCCCAGAAGCUGAAGCUGUUCAACAAACCUUAGUUGAAGCGGUGUCUAACCCCAACAACACUUUCAACAUCAGUAUCAGUCCAGCAUCUGUCGUAGCAACCCAAAUAAACAUUUUUACAAAGCUGUUGCGGUUCGCAUCGGUUGGAGAGACAUUUACAGCUGACUUGCUGAUCUCAUCAUCUCCAGCAUUUAAAAAUAGAUCAUCACUGAUAGUGACAACACUUGAACCGAUCUACAAUAAAACAUUUUCUUCAUACAACUCAAUGGAAGUGACUGGAUUCCGAAAUGGAUCCAUCAUCACUGACAUCUACAUUCAGUUUGCAUCUACAUCAGCGCCAAAUAACACUGACAUUGAAAAUGUUCUGAUCAAUGCAGCUCCAAACAUAACAGCCUUCAACAUUACCAAUGUUGUUGUCAGUGACCCAGUGGCUUCAACUACAACAACAAUGACUGCACCUACAAACGCAACCACAGCAAACCUUACAAACACCACACCAGGAACAAAUACAACUACAGUGUCUACAACAGCUUCAAGUACACCUGUGAACGCUACAACACCAAUCAUCACUACCCCAACAAACGCAACCACAGUUUCUCCUACAACCACUACAACUGUAACAACUACAAUUGUUGAGGCUGUUACAACAAAGCAGUUGCAGUUCAGAGAUGUUGGAGCAACAUUUACACCUGACUUAGAGAACUCAUCAUCUUCAGCAUUUACAGAAAGAGCCAGACAGACAGUGUUAACACUCGAACCUUUCUACAAGACAACAUUUCCUUCAUUCCGCUCAAUGAGAGUGAUCAGAUUCAGAAAUGGAUCCAUCAUCAGUGACGUUAAUAUUGACUUUGCAUCUAUAUCAGUGCCUAAUAACACUGAGAUUGAAAAUGUUUUGAUCAAUGCAGUUUCAAACAUAACGACCUUCAACAUUAGCAAAGAGUCUGUUAUUGUCAGUGACCCAGCGACUCCUACAACCACUUUGACUGCAACAACUACAACUACAGCGACUCCUACAACCACUACAACUGCAGCAACUACAACUGCAGCAACUGCAACUACAGCAACUCCCACAACCACUAAAGCUGUAACAACUACAACUGCUGAGCCAGUACAAAAAAAGGCAGUGCAAUUCAGAUCUGUUAAUGGGAUAUUUAUAACUGACUUGCUGACAUCAUCAUCCACAGCUUUUAAAGAACGAGCUUCACUGAUAGAGACAGCACUUAAACCUUUCUACCUGGCCAGAUUUCCUUCAUUCCGCUCCAUCAAUGUGACUGCAUUCAGUAAGGGAUCCAUUAUCAAUAACAUGGACAUUGGAUUUGCAAUGUCACUGGUCCCUAAUGCAAAAGAGAUUGCACAAGUUUUGAUUGAUGCAGCCAAGAUAACACCCUUCGACAUUGAUAUCAGUUCUAUUCUUGUGGACGGCAUAUUGUCACAUGGAGUGAGCCACAAGAUCAGUCUCCUCACUGCUUCCUGUAUGGUGCUGCUGUCAUGGCUCCUGUCAGGCCAGCAAUAACAUCUGCGCUGAUGCUCUUGUGAAAUAACUUGAGGAAAUGUCUCCUGUGACUGGGUAUGAAAAAGGACUUUGUUCCAACUGAAAAUCCACGAGGAGCUUCUGAUGAAGAGCAAUCAUACCAUGAUUUAGAAGUAGCUAAAACUGAAAUUAACCUUUAUGUUAUCUAUCAAUAUAAACUUUAACAUAAUUUCCAACAAAGGUGUCAUUGGUUGUCAAUUUAUAAUGUAAGUCCUGUGAUAAAGUCAUACUGUAAGUUAUUAAUAUCAAUGAGAUCAAGUUUUAAUCCAUGAAGCAUCUCCUCAGCUUCUGACUCUGAGAGUGAAAAAAAAUGAAAGUGAUAAUCAGGAAAUCAUCACCUCACCUGGCAUUCAUGAAAUAUAAGAUGUGUGAAAAUGUCCUCUUUGGUCACCUUUACCAGUCAAUAUUUAAAUAUAUUUCUUGUAUAUAUUGUAUUCUAUUAUUGUAUGUAUUCUGUUUGUAUUGUAUUGGAUAAUUAUGGUAAAAAUUCUAAGUGAUCCUGAUACACACAUUUAAAAUUAUUUAAAGAACUGUCCCUAUAAAAAAAUAUAAUAUUAAUAUCACCUUUUUCUUUCUGAAGCAGGUUCUUCACAAGUCUAUCAUGAUAAACUAAAGAAGCGUCAAUUAAAGACAUUGAACAAACCCUGCCUAUCUUGAUUUUUAAAUAUACUACUCUAAUCAACUACUCUAAUUUUUCUUUUCAAAAAAUUGAUUAGGAAAUACUAUCAUAGCACUCUUAAGACCCCUUCAUAGAUUUUUGAUACAAGUAAAACUAAAUCUAAUUCUAAUAAUU
ensembl:lncRNA